rnacentral:rRNA from 1 species
UACGAAGGGGGGCUAGCGUUGCUCGGAAUGACUGGGCGUAAAGGGCGCGUAGGCGGUUUGUACAGUCAGAUGUGAAAUUCCCGGGCUCAACCUGGGGGCUGCAUUUGAUACGUGCGGACUUGAGUGGGGAAGAGGGUCGUGGAAUUCCCAGUGUAGAGGUGAAAUUCGUAGAUAUUGGGAAGAACACCGGUGGCGAAGGCGGCGACCUGGUCCUUGACUGACGCUGAGGCGCGAAAGCGUGGGGAGCAAACAGG